CCAUGUUGGCCAGGCUGGUCUCGAACUCCUGACCUCAAGUGAUUCGCCUGCCUUGGCCUCCCAAAGUGCUGGGAUUAUGAGUGUGAGCCACUGUGCCUAGCCUUAAUUAUUUUUUUGUUUAAGGCAGUCUUCCUUGGACUGUAAAAAGUUGUGUUUUAAAACACACGCCCAUGCCUCAUUCCCAAAAAGAUGGUGAGAAGGCACAUCUGCUGCUUGGCGUUUUGCCAAUAGAAAAUCUCUGCAACCAGUGUUUCUGAUAUCUCCUAAUUCCACUAGGUCAUUUGGUUACUGAAGCUGAACAGCAGGAUUGCUAAUUACAGGGAGCUUUUAAGCAGGGACUCAAACAGAAGUGGAUGGGACAGUGUUAAAUAACUGUAACUGAGUAGGGAUUGUAAUCAACUUGUAUCUGAUCAGACCAGAAUACUCAAGUUUUAUGUGCCAGGAAACCUCCUUAAAAUUGCUCCUUGGUUUCACAGAAUGAGGUUUGACAGGAGAUCUUUGCAAAUUAUUGAUUGCUUCAGGCACUUUUACUGUAUAUAAUAGAACAUUUAUUUUGAUGAAGAUUUAAGGUUUACUUCUUUAAUGUCAUCUGUUUUGAAAUAAGAAUCUCAGUAGAUCAUUGAAAUCCUUAAAAGUGUUAGCUUUUUAAAGUUUGCUGUGAUAUUUUUGUACAUUUCACUGUAUCUUUUCAAACUGGUAAUCAUCUGAGUUAUUGAGAUAUACUUAGGUAGCUUAGAAUACAGAAAGUUACAAUGUGUAGUACCUUGUCUACCACAGAGCAGACAAAUGUUUGUUAAGUAAAUGGUUAAUGAAUAAAUAGAAAUGGAAAAAUAAUUGAUUAUUUUUUAAAGGUAAUUUGCUUGGGUGGAGGAAUCUUGACAGUUAUGCCCAGGUGUUUUAGAAUUCAAAGAUGAAAAUCAGUUGUCUAGGAAUUGAUUACCUUGUGUUGUGUUAUGCUGUCAGGAAUCCACAGAAAUAGUUGGAGAGAUACCUUAGUGAUAGCAAUUAAAUACAUACAUACAUGCAUACAUACAUACCCAAAAGAGAAACCGGAGGGGAAGAGGAACACGGAUUGAGUACCUGCUAAGUGUGGAGGAUUGUGGUAGAGAUGUUCACGCAGGUUGUCUUACCUAAACCCCACUCGGCCCUGGGAGUAGAAGCUAUAACUCCUUCACAGCCAGUGAGGAAGCAGAGAGGAGCAGAGACAUUUAUCAGAAUCCUGGAGCUAACAAGCGGCAGGGCAGGAGUUUAAACUGCAGCUACCCGUGGACAGCACAGGUUUGAGUUGUGGAGGUCCUCAUAUGAGGAAUUUUUUUCAGGCAAACAGAGCAGAUUGAGGGAUGCGAGACUCGCAUAGAUGGAGGGCCAGCUUUUUAUAUGUGUGGGUUCAAAUGCGCCAACUUCGGAAUUCGAGUACAUGUGGAUUUUGGUGUCCACAGGGGCCCCAGAACAAUCCCCUGCAUACACCAAGGGAAUACCGUGCACUGUGACCCUAUACACACUCCUGCUGCACCGCCACCACCCCCCACCGCCAUCUCUCCUGCCUCAUUUGGAAUUUUGUAAAGUGAGUUCCACUUUAUGUGGUGGAAUAGAAGAGAAAGCUGAAAAUGAUUUCUAGAAGUAAUGACAGAAG